CGCGUAGGCGGAAAUGCAAGCUUGGUGUGAAAGACCGCAGCUCAACUGCGGGAGCGCGCUGAGAACUGCAUAUCUAGAGUUCAAGAGGGGAAGCUGGAAUUCCUGGUGUAGGGGUGAAAUCUGUAGAGAUCAGGAAGAACAUCAGUGGCGAAGGCGAGCUUCUGGCUAUGAACUGACGCUGAUGCGCGAAGGCUAGGGGAGCAAACA
rnacentral:rRNA from 1 species